rnacentral:rRNA from 1 species
AUUGAACGCUGGCGGCAGGCCUAACACAUGCAAGUCGAGCGGAGCGGCGGACGGGUGCGUAAUGCCUAGGAAUCUGCCUGGUAGUGGGGGAUAACGUCCAGAAACGGGCGCUAAUACCGCAUACUAUCAGAUGAGCCUAGGUCGGAUUAGCUAGGUGGUGGGGUAAAGGCCUACCAAGGCGACGAUCCGUAACUGGUUUGAGAGGACGACCAGUCACACUGGAACUGAGACACGGUCCAGACUCCUACGGGAGGCAGCAGUGGGGAAUAUUGGACAAUGGGCGAAAGCCUGAUCCAGCCAUGCCGCGUGUGUGAAGAAGGUCUUCGGAUUGUAAAGCACUUUAAGUUGGGAGGCGUUACCAACAGAAUAAGCACCGGCUAACUUCGUGCCAGCAGCCGCGGUAAUUC